rnacentral:tRNA from 1 species
GCGCGAGUAGUCUAGUGGUAGGACAGGGGCUUUCCGAGCCUCUAACCCGGGUUCAAAUCCCGGCUCGCGCA